AAAAAGCAGGAACAAAUAAACGAAGAAUUAAAAAACUAUUUACAACAGUAUACUUCACAAUCCCAUUUCCAUCUUCUUUCUUUUCACCUUCCUUUUCUUUCUC
rnacentral:ribozyme from 13 species